rnacentral:rRNA from 1 species
CAAUAGCGUAUAUUAAAGUUGUUGCGGUAAAAGCUCGUAGUUGGAUUUCUGUUGAAGGUGACCGGUCCAUACCAUGUAUGCGCAUCUGGCUCAGCUUCGGCAUCCUCUCGAAAUGAUUUUCUGCGCUUGAUUGCGUGGAUUUUUGUUCGGGACUUUUACUUUGAGGAAAUUAGAGUGUUCACGGCAGGCUAUCGCCAGAAUACAUUAGCAUGGAAUAAUACUAUAGGAUCUUGGUUCUAUUUUGUUGGUUUCUAGAAUUGAGAUAAUGAUUAAUAGGGACAAUUGGGGGCACUCGUAUCGCCAAGUCAGAGGUGGAAUUCUUGGAUUUUGGCGCGACGAACUACUGCGAAAGCAUUUGCCAAGGAUGUUUUCAUUGAUCAAGAACGAAAGUAAGGGGAUCGAAGACGAUCAGAU